UACGAAGGGGGGCUAGCGUUGCUCGGAAUUACUGGGCGUAAAGCGCACGUAGGCGGCUUUCUAAGUCGGGGGGUGAAAUCCUGGAGCUCAACUCCAGAACUGCCUUCGAUACUGGAGAGCUCGAGUCCGGGAGAGGUGAGUGGAACUGCGAGUGUAGAGGUGAAAUUCGUAGAUAUUCGCAAGAACACCAGUGGCGAAGGCGGCUCACUGGCCCCGUAACUGACGCUGAGGCACGAA
rnacentral:rRNA from 1 species